rnacentral:rRNA from 1 species
GGAUGAACGCUGGCGGCGUGCCUAAUACAUGCAAGUCUAGCGAACAGAUGAGAAGCUUGCUUCUCUGAUGUUAGCGGCGGACGGGUGAGUAACACGUGGGUAACCUACCUAUAAGACUGGGAUAACUCCGGGAAACCGGGGCUAAUACCAGAUAAUACAUUGAGCCGCAUGGUUCAAUGUUGAAAGACGGUUUCGGCUGUCACUUAUAGAUGGACCCGCGCCGUAUUAGCUAGUUGGUAAGGUAACGGCUUACCAAGGCAACGAUACGUAGCCGACCUGAGAGGGUGAUCGGCCACACUGGAACUGAGACACGGUCCAGACUCCUACGGGAGGCAGCAGUAGGGAAUCUUCCGCAAUGGGCGAAAGCCUGACGGAGCAACGCCGCGUGAGUGAUGAAGGUCUUAGGAUCGUAAAACUCUGUUGUUAGGGAAGAACAAAUUUGUUAGUAACUGAACAAGUCUUGACGGUACCUAACCAGAAAGCCACGGCUAACUACGUGCCAGCAGCCGCGGUAAUACGUAGGUGGCAAGCGUUAUCCGGAAUUAUUGGGCGUAAAGCGCGCGUAGGCGGUUUCUUAAGUCUGAUGUGAAAGCCCACGGCUCAACCGUGGAGGGUCAUUGGAAACUGGGGAACUUGAGUGCAGAAGAGGAGAGUGGAAUUCCAUGUGUAGCGGUGAAAUGCGCAGAGAUAUGGAGGAACACCAGUGGCGAAGGCGGCUCUCUGGUCUGUAACUGACGCUGAUGUGCGAAAGCGUGGGGAUCAAACAGGAUUAGAUACCCUGGUAGUCCACGCCGUAAACGAUGAGUGCUAAGUGUUAGGGGGUGUCCGCCCCCUUAGUGCUGCAGCUAACGCAUUAAGCACUCCGCCUGGGGAGUACGACCGCAAGGUUGAAACUCAAAGGAAUUGACGGGGACCCGCACAAGCGGUGGAGCAUGUGGUUUAAUUCGAAGCAACGCGAAGAACCUUACCAAAUCUUGACAUCCUUUGACCGCUCUAGAGAUAGAGUCUUCCCCUUCGGGGGACAAAGUGACAGGUGGUGCAUGGUUGUCGUCAGCUCGUGUCGUGAGAUGUUGGGUUAAGUCCCGCAACGAGCGCAACCCUUAAGCUUAGUUGCCAUCAUUAAGUUGGGCACUCUAGGUUGACUGCCGGUGACAAACCGGAGGAAGGUGGGGAUGACGUCAAAUCAUCAUGCCCCUUAUGAUUUGGGCUACACACGUGGUACAAUGGAUAAUACAAAGGGCAGCGAACCCGCGAGGUCAAGCAAAUCCCAUAAAAUUAUUCUCAGUUCGGAUUGUAGUCUGCAACUCGACUACAUGAAGCUGGAAUCGCUAGUAAUCGUAGAUCAGCAUGAUACGGUGAAUACGUUCCCGGGUGUUGUACACACCGCCCGUCACACCACGAGAGUUUGUAACACCCGAAGCCGGUGGAGUAACAUUUUAUUAGGAGCUAGCCGUCGAAGGUGGGAC